rnacentral:tRNA from 1 species
CGUUCUAUGGCCGAAUUGGUAAAGGCAUCGCCGAUCACAGGCGAGGGUGCGGGUUCGAGUCCCGCUGGAACGA